rnacentral:rRNA from 1 species
GAUGAACGCUGGCGGCGUGCCUAAUACAUGCAAGUCGAGCGAACGGACGAGAAGCUUGCUUCUCUGAUGUUAGCGGCGGACGGGUGAGUAACACGUGGAUAACCUACCUAUAAGACUGGGAUAACUUCGGGAAACCGGAGCUAAUACCGGAUAAUAUUUUGAACCGCAUGGUUCAAAAGUGAAAGACGGUCUUGCUGUCACUUAUAGAUGGAUCCGCGCUGCAUUAGCUAGUUGGUAAGGUAACGGCUUACCAAGGCAACGAUGCAUAGCCGACCUGAGAGGGUGAUCGGCCACACUGGAACUGAGACACGGUCCAGACUCCUACGGGAGGCAGCAGUAGGGAAUCUUCCGCAAAGGGCGAAAGCCUGACGGAGCAACGCCUCGUGAGUGAUGAAGGUCUUCGGAUCGUAAAACUCUGUUAUUAGGGAAGAACAUAUGUGUAAGUAACUGUGCACAUCUUGACGGUACCUAAUCAGAAAGCCACGGCUAACUACGUG